rnacentral:rRNA from 1 species
CUUAUCUCCCCCAAGAGUCCACAUCGACGGGGAGGUUUGGCACCUCGAUGUCGGCUCAUCACAUCCUGGGGCUGUAGUAGGUCCCAAGGGUUGGGCUGUUCGCCCAUUAAAGUGGUACGCGAGCUGGGUUCAGAACGUCGUGAGACAGUUCGGUCCCUAUCCGUCGCAGGCGUAGGAAAUUUGAGAAGACCUGUCCUUAGUACGAGAGGACCGGGAUGGACGUACCUCUGGUGUACCAGUUGUCCUGCCAAGGGCAUGGCUGGGUAGCUAUGUACGGAAUGGAUAAGCGCUGAAAGCAUCUAAGCGCGAAGCCAACUUCAAGAUAAGAUUUCCCACCGCAAGGGUAAGACCCCAGAAAGACUAUCUGGUUGAUAGGUCGAAGGUGUAAGUGCAGCAAUGUAUUUAGCUUAUCGAUACUAAUAGGUCGAGGACUUGACCAAU